rnacentral:rRNA from 1 species
GAUGAACGCUGGCGGCGUGCCUAAUACAUGCAAGUCGAGCGAACAGACGAGGAGCUUGCUCCUCUGACGUUAGCGGCGGACGGGUGAGUAACACGUGGAUAACCUACCUAUAAGACUGGGAUAACUUCGGGAAACCGGAGCUAAUACCGGAUAAUAUAUUGAACCGCAUGGUUCAAUAGUGAAAGACGGUUUUGCUGUCACUUAUAGAUGGAUCCGCGCCGCAUUAGCUAGUUGGUAAGGUAACGGCUUACCAAGGCAACGAUGCGUAGCCGACCUGAGAGGGUGAUCGGCCACACUGGAACUGAGACACGGUCCAGACUCCUACGAGAGGCAGCAGUAGGGAAUCGUCCGCAAUGGGCGAAAGCCUGACGGAGCAACGCCGCGUGAGUGAUGAAGGUCUUCGGAUCGUAAAACUCUGUUAUUAGGGAAGAACAAAUGUGUAAGUAACUAUGCACGUCUUGACGGUACCUAAUCAGAAAGCCACGGCUAACUACGUG